rnacentral:rRNA from 1 species
UACGUAGGUCCCGAGCGUUAUCCGGAUUUAUUGGGCGUAAAGGGAACGCAGGCGGUCUUUUAAGUCUGAUGUGAAAGCCUUCGGCUUAACCGGAGUAGUGCAUUGGAAACUGGGAGACUUGAGUGCAGGAGAGGAGAGUGGAACUCCAUGUGUAGCGGUGAAAUGCGUAGAUAUAUGGAAGAACACCAGUGGCGAAAGCGGCUCUCUGGUCUGUAACUGACGCUGAGGUUCGAAAGCGUGGGUAGCAAACAGG